GCCUUGGUAGCUCGGAUGGUGGAGCAUGAGACUCUUAAUCUCAGAGUUGUGGGUUCAAGACCCAUGUUGGGCA